GCUCAGAUUGAACGCUGGCGGCAGGCUUAACACAUGCAAGUCGAGCGGAGAGAGGUAGCUUGCUACUGAUCUUAGCGGCGGACGGGUGAGUAAUGCUUAGGAAUCUGCCUAUUAGUGGGGGACAACAUUUCGAAAGGAAUGCUAAUACCGCAUACGUCCUACGGGAGAAAGCAGGGGAUCUUCGGACCUUGCGCUAAUAGAUGAGCCUAAGUCGGAUUAGCUAGUUGGUGGGGUAAAGGCCUACCAAGGCGACGAUCUGUAGCGGGUCUGAGAGGAUGAUCCGCCACACUGGGACUGAGACACGGCCCAGACUCCUACGGGAGGCAGCAGUGGGGAAUAUUGGACAAUGGGCGGAAGCCUGAUCCAGCCAUGCCGCGUGUGUGAAGAAGGCCUUAUGGUUGUAAAGCACUUUAAGCGAGGAGGAGGCUACUUUAGUUAAUACCUAGAGAUAGUGGACGUUACUCGCAGAAUAAGCACCGGCUAACUCUGUGCCAGCAGCCGCGGUAAUACAGAGGGUGCAAGCGUUAAUCGGAUUUACUGGGCGUAAAGCGCGCGUAGGCGGCUAAUUAAGUCAAAUGUGAAAUCCCCGAGCUUAACUUGGGAAUUGCAUUCGAUACUGGUUAGCUAGAGUGUGGGAGAGGAUGGUAGAAUUCCAGGUGUAGCGGUGAAAUGCGUAGAGAUCUGGAGGAAUACCGAUGGCGAAGGCAGCCAUCUGGCCUAACACUGACGCUGAGGUGCGAAAGCAUGGGGAGCAAACAGGAUUAGAUACCCUGGUAGUCCAUGCCGUAAACGAUGUCUACUAGCCGUUGGGGCCUUUGAGGCUUUAGUGGCGCAGCUAACGCGAUAAGUAGACCGCCUGGGGAGUACGGUCGCAAGACUAAAACUCAAAUGAAUUGACGGGGGCCCGCACAAGCGGUGGAGCAUGUGGUUUAAUUCGAUGCAACGCGAAGAACCUUACCUGGCCUUGACAUAGUAAGAACUUUCCAGAGAUGGAUUGGUGCCUUCGGGAACUUACAUACAGGUGCUGCAUGGCUGUCGUCAGCUCGUGUCGUGAGAUGUUGGGUUAAGUCCCGCAACGAGCGCAACCCUUUUCCUUAUUUGCCAGCGAGUAAUGUCGGGAACUUUAAGGAUACUGCCAGUGACAAACUGGAGGAAGGCGGGGACGACGUCAAGUCAUCAUGGCCCUUACGGCCAGGGCUACACACGUGCUACAAUGGUCGGUACAAAGGGUUGCUACCUAGCGAUAGGAUGCUAAUCUCAAAAAGCCGAUCGUAGUCCGGAUUGGAGUCUGCAACUCGACUCCAUGAAGUCGGAAUCGCUAGUAAUCGCGGAUCAGAAUGCCGCGGUGAAUACGUUCCCGGGCCUUGUACACACCGCCCGUCACACCAUGGGGAGUUUGUUGCACCAGAAGUAGCUAGCCUAACUGCAAAGAGGGCGGUUACCACGGUGUGGCCGAUGACUGGGGUGAAUCUACAAAAGGGG
rnacentral:rRNA from 1 species